GGAGUGGCAAAGGGUAGGAGUAAGAACGGGAAGCGAACGAUUUAGACACGGAAAGAAAGAAGUCGUAACUAAUGGAUUCCCAUGAAGGAGGAGAACGCGUGGCGACAGGACGCGUAAACUUUCAGCGACCGAUUCGACGUAGAUUGAUACGUUUCUAUCCGCGUAGGUGGAGGAGGAGGCCUACCGAGGGCCGCCAGCCAAGGAUUCAUCAUCCAUCAUUAGUCCGAACAAUCGAGCCGCUCGCACAAAAGUACUUCGGUCUUUCGGACCGUGCAGAAUAAGGUGGCAUCCGAAGGAGAACAAUUUGAUGGGAGCCCACGCGAGCCAGCGAUUCUGGAGAGUAUGAGGGUACGCCUAAAUCUUAGGAUUACGAACGAGUGUCAAGCGUCUACCCUUCGCCUUUGUCUCCGUUUUACGAUUGUGCCAUCGCCUACGGUGGUACACUGUGCUAGGGGAUGGGACAAGCCGGAGGUAAUUUUUGAAAAGCAAUCUCUACCUGCUGACAGAUAACGAUGAGGAAAGCUGCUUUUAGAAUUCGUUUUGACGAGACACGACCGAGAGCUCUCUCUCUCUCUCUCUCUUUCAUCUCUUUCUUUAAAUCGAAUCAUACGAAUUCGGGAAUCCAGUCUCUACCAGUCUACACGCUAUUUUACAAUUAACUAUCAAAUCUAAUCCGAAAAACUCACGGGACUUACUAUCAGUUCUAUUAAUAUUAUAUGAUAUUAUAAU